rnacentral:RNase_P_RNA from 1 species
AGUGCCACAGAAAACAGACCGCCGCCGGACCCCGGUCCGGCGGUAAGGGUGAAACGGUGCGGUAAGAGCGCACCAGCGCCCCGGGUGACCGGGGUGGCUAGGUAAACCCCACCCGAAGCAAGGCCAAGAGGUCGUCGGUGACGACUGCGCAGGCGUUCGAGGGUUGCUCGCCCGAGCCUGCGGGUAGGCCGCUCGAGGCAUCCGGCGACGGAAUGCCCAGAUGGAUGGUCGCCGCCACACCGGACCGGUGUGGAACAGAAUCCGGCUUACAGGCCGGCUCGUCCG